UUUAAGUUUAACUCUUUAAUAAUUUAGUUACUAAAUAUUUUACUAAUUUUAAUUAUGAGUACAUUUUUAUAAAGUAGACAUUUUUCCUGCUUUUUUUUGUUUGUUUGUUUUUCAGAAGUUUCCCAAACAAGGCUUAAAGCUUAAUGUAAAGCCAGGAUGUUUUACUGUCAUGUGAUGCUGUGAGGUGGAGCUUCCUGAAACUGAUGUUAUUAUGAUGUUAUUAUGUUAGAGUACAAAAAGAGCUUUUUCCAUUCUACUAAAACCAGUCAUUAAAAUUAAAUGUGCUCUGGACAGGUUUCCCAUAUGAGGCUGAAUGUAAAGCCAGGAUGUUUCAGUAAGAAUCAACAAUCUGACAACAACAUUGGUGACACUGUCAUGUGAUGCUGUGGGGUGGAGCAAUUUUGAAGCUUUAUGGUGUUAACAUAUUAGAUUACAGAAAGAUCUCCACUAUUUUCACUGAGCUAAGACCAGUCAUCAUGUUCACUGUUAUAUUCAUGUAUCUGUGGCUUUCACUAGGUGACUCCAUGGCAGAUUCAAUAGAGCCAGAUUUCCCUCAUAAAGCUGUAGAUGAAGGUGAUGAUGUUACUCUGUCCUGCACAUAUGAAACACGUGGUACAAAUUUCUACCUGCACUGGUACAGACAAUAUCCAAAAUCUAAACCUGAGUUCCUUCUUUAUAUUUACAAAACUGGAGCUCUAAGUGAAAAUAUUCCCCCAAGAAUGAAUGCUACACUUAAAGAUAAGAAAGUGGAUCUGAUCAUCUCCUCUGCUGCUGUAUCAGACUCUGCACUAUAUUACUGUGCUCUGGCGCCCACAGUGACAGGAAAUCCAGCUGCACUGUACAAAAACCUUCACACAGUUUUGUUAAACUCAAAGCAGUUCUGCUGGUGAUUUAGAAAAUUCAAACACUCCUAGAGGCAAUAUGUAAUUAAAUUAGAAGUGCACUAAAGACAAGGUGUGGCUCCACAUAUAUAACAUUGAACAAUAUGUAGUAUCAAAGGUCAUUCACUCAGACCAGCAUGAGGUAAUUUGGAAAUCUCUAGAACUAAGAAAUGAGUUUUAGACUUUGUAGGUUAAGAAUUAGACCUCACAUGAUUUGUUACUUCUGCUGUGAUGGAGUAUAUCUGAAAUUUAACACUGCAAUGUGUGUGAUUUAAAGUUUUGUUGCUUCAUUUUAUGUGUGUACUUUAAUCUGUUUGUGUUAAAGCAUUACACAGGAAACCUGCUCUCCACAUAGCAUUAUCUCUACAGAUGGUAUAACCACUACAGAACAAUUCCUGGUAUUUUUACACAUUUAAAUAGAACUGCCUUAUUUAUUAGUGCAUCAUUUGCUUUCUACUCUUGUGCACAGUGUUCAGUGUGAGAAACACUGAUACAAUCACACAGACCACAGAUUAUUAGAUAUGCUCUUGUCAUGUAAUGGAGUGCAAGCAAAGACUCUGAUGAAAGUGUGGCGUAAAGACAGAAUUAUUCAUUAAUAGUUCUCAAUAUAGACCUGUACAAAGCAGAAAGAAAGCAUAAUAACAUCAAAAACAUCAAAUCUCCCAAACUGUUAUUGUACAAUAAAAUAAAACUGAUUUAAAAAAACAUCCAAGUUUUUUUCUAUGCUAAUGAGACAGGAGAAGUGCAGAAAGUCACGUGACACUUCUGCAUGUCCUAAUUAGCAUAUAACAACAACGAUGGAAUUUCAUAUUAAGUUGAAACGUAAGGAAAAAGUCACAGAUUCAGUGAAAAAGACGUGUGCAGCUGCUUAUCAAACCUACUACAAUCAAAGUAAAAUACAUAUAGGUACAGAAAUUACAAGGUGGAAGGAAUGGAAAUGCAAACUGCAGUUGAAAUCAGAUGAAAACGUGACGUCUUUGUUACUUGACUUCAAGGUAUCCUGUUUCUGCUCACUCCCACUUUAGACUCACAUAACACUGCAUAAUAUUUUCAUUUUCUCAAAGCUGAAAGCAGGUUAAUUACAAAUCAGAGUGA